rnacentral:rRNA from 1 species
GUGGGGAAUUUUGGACAAUGGGCGCAAGCCUGAUCCGGCAAUGCCGCGUGCAGGAAGAAGGCCUUCGGGUUGUAAACUGCUUUUGUACGGAACGAAACGGUCCGGGUUAAUACCCUGGGCUAAUGACGGUACCGUAAGAAUAAGCACCGGCUAACUACGUGCCAGCAGCCGCGGUAAUACGUAGGGUGCAAGCGUUAAUCGGAAUUACUGGGCGUAAAGCGUGCGCAGGCGGUUUUGUAAGACAGGCGUGAAAUCCCCGGGCUCAACCUGGGAAUUGCGCUUGUGACUGCAAGGCUGGAGUGCGGCAGAGGGGGAUGGAAUUCCGCGUGUAGCAGUGAAAUGCGUAGAUAUGCGGAGGAACACCGAUGGCGAAGGCAAUCCCCUGGGCCUGCACUGACGCUCAUGCACGAAAGCGUGGGGAGCAAACAGGAUUAGAUACCCUAGUAGUCC